UGAUUGGUGCUUGUUUUCUGUAAUAACUAGAAGUUUCACAACUCUUUGUCUCUCAAUGAUCAGGGGGAAAGAGGAGCAUCUGGCUUGGAUGGACGUCCUGGUCUGGAUGGAAAGUCUGGCCCACCAGGACCACCUGGACAAAGAGUACCUCGAGAUUUUACAAAUUUGUUUAAACUUAAUAAUUUGUUAUUUCAAUUUAAUUCAAAAUGUUGGCUCUUUUGAUAUGUUUUCUGUUUGCAGGGAGAUCCUGGUAAACAGGGAGACUCAGGAAGAGAUGGAUUACCAGGACUAA
rnacentral:lncRNA from 1 species